CAUGCAGUCGACGGCAGCACAGAGGAGCUUGCUCCUUGGGUGGCGAGUGGCGGACGGGUGAGGAAUACAUCGGAAUCUACUUUUUCGUGGGGGAUAACGUAGGGAAACUUACGCUAAUACCGCAUACGACCUACGGGUGAAAGCAGGGGACCUUCGGGCCUUGCGCGAUUGAAUGAGCCGAUGUCGGAUUAGCUAGUUGGCGGGGUAAAGGCCCACCAAGGCGACGAUCCGUAGCUGGUCUGAGAGGAUGAUCAGCCACACUGGAACUGAGACACGGUCCAGACUCCUACGGGAGGCAGCAGUGGGGAAUAUUGGACAAUGGGCGCAAGCCUGAUCCAGCCAUACCGCGUGGGUGAAGAAGGCCUUCGGGUUGUAAAGCCCUUUUGUUGGGAAAGAAAUCCAGCCGGCUAAUACCUGGUUGGGAUGACGGUACCCAAAGAAUAAGCACCGGCUAACUUCGUGCCAGCAGCCGCGGUAAUACGAAGGGUGCAAGCGUUACUCGGAAUUACUGGGCGUAAAGCGUGCGUAGGUGGUUGUUUAAGUCUGUUGUGAAAGCCCUGGGCUCAACCUGGGAACUGCAGUGGAAACUGGACAACUAGAG
rnacentral:rRNA from 1 species